rnacentral:rRNA from 1 species
GAUGAACGCUGGCGGCGUGCCUAAUACAUGCAAGUCGAGCGAACGGACGAGAAGCUUGCUUCUCUGAUGUUAGCGGCGGACGGGUGAGUAACACGUGGAUAACCUACCUAUAAGACUGGGAUAACUUCGGGAAACCGUAGCUAAUACCGGAUAAUAUAUUGAACCGCAUGGUUCAAAAGUGAAAGACGGUUUUGCUGUCACUUAUAGAUGGAUCCGCGCUGCAUUAGCUAGUUGGUAAGGUAACGGCUUACCAAGGCAACGAUGCGUAGCCGACCUGAGAGGGUGAUCGGCCACACUGGAACUGAGACACGGUCCAGACUCCUACGGGAGGCAGCAGUAGGGAAUCUUCCGCAAUGGGCGAAAGCCUGACGGAGCAACGCCGCGUGAGUGAUGAAGGUCUUCGGAUCGUAAAACUCUGUUAUUAGGGAAGAACAUAUGUGUAAGUAACUGUGCACAUCUUGACGGUACCUAAUCAGAAAGCCACGGCUAACUACGUG